AGAGCGACGGGAUCCACACCACGGGUGACGACGAGGUAGUCGCGCAUCACGAUGCCGUGGCGGUUCUC
rnacentral:sRNA from 1 species